AUGGGAAGACGUGUUGACAAAACAACCAAUAAAAUGCAACAAUUUAUGUGGUUAUUCUGACAACGGAUAUUUGAUUUAAAAAAAAUCGGCAGAAUGGAUUUAAGUUCAUUACUCUCACUGUUAGAAAAUAUCGAAUGGGAAACCUCGUUAUACUAAUGUCAGCUCGUAAAGAGGCAUCUUGCCAGCCAUGAUUUAUAAACGAAUAAAUUAGACUUUCUAAUUCAAUAGAUUAUUUUUUGUAUUAAUAAUAUCAUGUCUGUCUCGCUAGAAAGAAAAAUUUUGUAUUUAUAUUUCUUACGUUAGACACUGUCGAAUGAAGGCAUGUUUUUGUUAUGGUAACGGAAAAAACAAGGCUAGAGGAAAUUGUAAGUUAUUAAUAUGCAAAGUCAUCAUAGGUUGGACUCGAAGCAAAUAUUUUCCUUAUUUGUAAACAUUCUACUUAAAGGAGUAGUUCGAACAAAUGCCUCAGUUUAUUGAUGAAAAUGUAAUGUCAUCGUUAAAAGUGAGCGCUUCGGCAGUCUUAAUUCCAAGAUGGCUCGUUGUUUCGAAGGGUCACAGACUUUUAACUUCAUUUAUCUCCGAACAACUUCUACGCGACAAUCAAUGUCCGACCACCCAUCCCUUGGGAUUUCUGCGCCUUUCACCCCUCUCCUGUGGAAAAUUGCUUGUCAUACUUCAUUUUAGCCGAUGAUCUGACCUGCCCGGCGAGUGCAUUGGAAAUUGGGUCGGUACUGCUCUGACCAAGUUUACCAAUCUGUCACCAAUCAACAACUCUUUUAAGCCGAAUACAAGCCAAUUCUCCCUAUUCAUGGUAAGUUUUAAUAUUCCCAUGCCACAUUUUUGCUUUGAUUUCUAACUUGCAUUGUUUGGUCUUCCACGGCCCCUCUUUGGCUUUGGAAGCUUUGCCUUUGUGCACAUGGCCUAUUUAGUUACUUCCAUUCUCUUAGUGGUGUUUCUUUUAACAAACUAUGUUUCUCUAAGAGUACAAUCAAAAUAAACCUGAAUUUCUUAGGUUCUACAUCAUUAUCAUUUUUCUGUUACCUUUAUACUUAUCUUAUUCAUUUAAUAUAGAUUUAUAUUUUUUUUCUUUUGGAGGUAUUUUGAUAGCUAAAUUAUAGAGUUAAUGUCCCUCUCUAAGCUACUGUGGACGCAAUCAACGAAACAGAUUUUUAAAAAGAUGAAAAAAUUGUU